rnacentral:misc_RNA from 1 species
ACAAACUUGGUCAUUUAGAGGAAGUAAAAGUCGUAACAAGGUUUCCGUAGGUGAACCUGCGGAAGGAUCAUUAACACCAAAACCUCGUAUCCCACAAGGAUACAAACCAACCUCUGUACGAACCGUUCAAACCCCCCCCUAGGCUUGGGAUGAGGCAUGAGUUGGUGUGUGCGUGAGUGCACGCGCCUUCAUGUUCUUUCCCGGGUCGCCUGUCCCUUGUGAAAAAUUUUAUCCCAAACGAUUUCUGAAUAACUGUCUGAGUAAUCUUUUGUUUCUUUAAUCGGAAACGAAAAACGUGGAAAACGUGAAACAACUCUUAACAACGGAUAUCUUGGCUCUCGCAUCGAUGAAGAACGCAGC